AUUAAAUUUCUUCAUUUAAGUGUUUCAUGACCAACCGACAACCACCACCCUUGAAGUUCGUGUGACUUCUUUCGGCGUUUGUGCUUCCGACGUUCAUCUUCCAGUUCCAGCAUUUGUCUUCCAGUUCUGGCAUCGUGUUUCACUGCUUCAUGCUUUCAAUUCUAGUCCAGCGUUCGUGCUUCCAGAUCCGACGUUUGUGUUUCCAAUGUUCAUGUUUCCGGCGUUCGUCUUCCAGUUUCAACGUUGUUCUUCCAGUUCCGGCGUCGUGUUUCACUACUUUGUACUUCCAGUUCUGGUCCAGUUUUUAUGCUUCCAGUUCCGGCGUUUGUGCUUCAUUGCUUCCGAUCCGGCGUUAGUGCUUCCACUAUCCACUGUCCAACGCCCGACCUAUUUUUAACAGCGUGCUUCUAGUGUUCUGCGACCACCAAUAUUUUUCGUUUGUAACUUUAAGUUGGAUUCUUCUGAAAAGGUAUAUAUGGAUACACCAGAAAAUUCAGCAACAGUUCAGGAUUAGGAUCAAAUAGAGAUUCCAGUCACAAUCAAAGCAACAACAAGUAGUCCAAUAAAGAAACGCAGCAAAAUGGUUAUGAUGUAUUCUCCUCGAGUCCUCUCCCCUAUGGUCUAGGAUUAUCAUGAGCAAGUAUGACCGUCAUCCUUUUGACUGGAUGUCGGGUGGGAUUAAAGGCACAUUCAAGAAUCCAUGGAAAGAGAUCUCUUCAGAGCUCCCUUCUUUUUCUGAGUUGAUUCAGUGUGUGGUGGGAGAGGGGAUUGAGACUUAGUUAUGGGGCAUCCCCUCCCCUUUGGUAGCAACUUUCCUCGUCUUUUUUAUUAUCUUUCUACUAAGAAAAUUUGUUUUGUCGCUGAUGUUCUGUUGCAUUCAAGGAGCUCACCCUCUUUCUCAUUUAGUUUCCGCUGUUCUUUGUCUAAUAGGAAAACAACAGAGGUUAUGGCCCUCCAUUCUUUAUAGGGGGAUGUUGAGUUUAGGUAAGGGAAAAGGGAUGUUUGUAUUUAUAGU